GCUGGUUAAGCUUUUAGACUUUUGAGCAACAUAAUUCAGCUGAGAUUCAUUCUGGAUGAGGACUCAGAGGCUUCCAGUCUGAGGAAACAGGAUCAGCAGAGGAACUGGCAAGUGUUCCCUGAUCUCCAAGGGGAGGGACCUGAUGGAGACUUCCAAUUUAGACUCUCUCUCAGCAUAAUGUCUGACUGUGGGUCUUUGCACCUGCUCCCAUCUUCUGAGGGAGGAAGCCUCUGUGAUGACACCUAGACCAAGCAAUGAUCUACAACUCCGAGUAAUGGAAGAUGUGAGUCUGAACGGGCUGUCUUUGGCAGCCAGCAGCACUAUUAAGGAUGAUGCAUUAUGCAAGGCCUACUCCACUAACUCCAGGUUAUAUGGCAAUAUGCUCUGAAAAAAGCAACUUAAGGAAAUAAGGGUUUGUUUUCACUCAAAGUUCAUGCUAGAUUCCAUCAUGGCAAGGAAGAGAAGUGGUCAAGAGCUUAAAGCAACUGGCUGUAUCACAUGUACAAUCCAAGAGCAGUGAGGGGUGAGUGCAUGCAUGCCACUGCUCAGUUUCCCUUCUCUAUUUAUGUAGUCCAGUAUCCCAGCCACAGUUAAGACAAUGUAUACAAAUGACCACUUUUUCCUUCUUUUUAACUUAACAUUGCAUUCAGAUUCCUCAGAUUUAUUGUACCAUUCUGCAAUGUUAGGUGUUUCCUUUUUUCCAGAAUUUUACAAAUUAUAGUAAGGGAAUGUAAUCCCUCAGUUGAAACAGACCCAAUAUCAUGCAGUCAUCUAGUUUGUUUCACCUGCAAAACUCCAAUAUAUAUGGCAUCUCAUUAAAUUCUGUUGAUUAAAUAUCUUUUUCUGAUUUCUGUCACAGUUUUACUUAAUAUCUAUAUG